UGGGGAAUCUUGGACAAUGGGGGCAACCCUGAUCCAGCAAUGCCGCGUGUGGGAUGAAGGCCUUCGGGUUGUAAACCACUUUUGGCGGGGGCGAAAUAUCGAGUGCUAAUACCAUUCGGUGAUGACGGUACCCGCAGAAUAAGCACCGGCUAACUACGUGCCAGCAGCCGCGGUAAUACGUAGGGUGCAAGCGUUAAUCGGAAUUACUGGGCGUAAAGCGUGCGCAGGCGGUUAGGUAAGACAGGUGUGAAAUUCCCGGGCUCAACCUGGGAACUGCAUUCGUGACUGCCUGACUAGAGUGCGGCAGAGGGGAGUGGAAUUCCGCGUGUAGCAGUGAAAUGUGUAGAUAUGCGGAGGAACACCGAUGGCGAAGGCAACUCCCUGGGCCUGCACUGACGCUCAUGCACGAAAAGCGUGGGGAGCAAACAGGAUUAGAUACCCUGGUAGUCCACGCCCUAAACGAUGUCGACUAGUUGUUGGACGGGUUACUGUUCAGUAACGAAGCUAACGCGUGAAGUCGACCGCCUGGGGAGUACGGCCGCAAGGUUAAAACUUAAA
rnacentral:rRNA from 1 species